rnacentral:lncRNA from 1 species
AGUUUCCUUCUGUGGUUAACAAAAUCUUCCUAUUAAGAAAUGUGAAUCCUCAGAUGGAAUGAAAGGCCUGCACCAUAGACAUCGAAGCAUUUACACCCCGCUUGAAGAGUUUGAAAUGGACUUUACCACUGAGAAAUCAAGAUGGCAGCCCAUUAUGGGGAAUUGAGGAAAAUGGAUUAAUGCAAGAAUGCUGUAAUAUUAUACAACCAACACAGGAUUCUUUUAAUGUGGAUUCCAUGAAAUGAAUGAUUCUUACCCAACACAAAUGGACAGUGGAAUUUACUUCCUAAAGACUUGUUACAUGUCAUGUACAUUUUUGACAUCUGGAGAAGACUCUACAAUUCUACAAAUGGUAGUUUGUAUUCCUGGAAUUUCUUGCAGUUUGAUCUGAAGUGACCUUAUGGAAUGUUAACUUUAAUA